rnacentral:rRNA from 1 species
AUAUCAAUAAGCGGAGGAAAAGAAACCAACCGGGAUUGCCUUAGUAACGGCGAGUGAAGCGGCAAAAGCUCAAAUUUGAAAUCUGGCUCUAUUUUGGGGUCCGAAUUGUAAUUUGAAGAAGCGACUUUGGACCUGGCUCUUGUCUAUGUUCCUUGGAACAGGACGUCACAGAGGGUGAGAAUCCCGUGCGAUGAGAAGCCCAGGUUCGUGUAAAGCGUUUUCGACGAGUCGAGUUGUUUGGGAAUGCAGCUCUAAGUGGGUGGUAAAUUCCAUCUAAAGCUAAAUAUUGGCGAGAGACCGAUAGCGAACAAGUACAGUGAUGGAAAGAUGAAAAGAACUUUGAAAAGAGAGUGAAAAAGUACGUGAAAUUGUUGAAAGGGAAGGGCUUGAGAUCAGACUUUGUUUUUCCAUGGCGCUCUUUCGGGGGUGUCCUCUGGGUCUACAGGGCCAGCAUGGGUUUUGCGGGCGAGACAAGGACUCAGGAAUGUGGCUCUGCUUCGGUGGAGUGUUAUAGCCUGGGGUACUGGUCGCCAUGCGGGACCGAGGACUGCGGUACUAGGAUGCUGGCA